UACGUAGGGGGCUAGCGUUGUCCGGAUUUAUUGGGCGUAAAGAGCGUGUAGGCGGUUUGGUAGGUCCGCUGUGAAAACUCGAGCUCAACCUCGAGACGCCGGUGGAAACCAUCAGACUAGAGUCCGGAAGAGGAGAGUGGAAUUCCUGGUGUAGCGGUGAAAUGCGCAGAUAUCAGGAAGAACACCCGUGGCUAAGGCGGCUCUCUAGUACGGUACUGACGCUGAGACGCGAAAGCGUGGGGGAGCGAACAGG
rnacentral:rRNA from 1 species